rnacentral:rRNA from 1 species
AACGAACGCUGGCGGCAGGCCUAACACAUGCAAGUCGAGCGGACCCUUCGGGGUUAGCGGCGGACGGGUGAGUAACGCGUGGGAAUAUGCCCUUCUCUACGGAAUAGUCCUGGGAAACUGGGGGUAAUACCGUAUACGCCCUUUGGGGGAAAGAUUUAUCGGGGAAGGAUUAGCCCGCGUUGGAUUAGGUAGUUGGUGGGGUAAUGGCCUACCAAGCCGACGAUCCAUAGCUGGUUUGAGAGGAUGAUCAGCCACACUGGGACUGAGACACGGCCCAGACUCCUACGGGAGGCAGCAGUGGGGAAUCUUAGACAAUGGGGGCAACCCUGAUCUAGCCAUGCCGCGUGAGUGAUGAAGGUCUUAGGGUUGUAAAGCUCUUUCAGCUGGGAAGAUAAUGACGGUACCAGCAGAAGAAGCCCCGGCUAACUCCGUG